rnacentral:rRNA from 1 species
GACGGAGGGUGCUAGCGUUGUUCGGAAUCACUGGGCGUAAAGCGCGCGUAGGCGGCCCGGUAAGUCCGCUGUAAAAGUCCAGGGCUCAACCCUGGAAAGCCGGUGGAUACUGUCGGGCUCGAGUCCGGAAGAGGCGAGUGGAAUUCCUGGUGUAGCGGUGGAAUGCGCAGAUAUCAGGAGGAACACCAAUGGCGAAGGCAGCUCGCUGGGACGGUACUGACGCUAAGGCGCGAAAAGCGUGGGGGAGCAAACAGG